CUAGAAGUCUUCCACCUACGAAGAUGUCGCCCUGGGGCCCCUGUUUCUCCGAAGACCGUCCCGAUCGAGGCAGGUAGUGGCUUCUGGGAGGUUCUCCGGGUGCCCGCCUCAGCCGCGGCUGUCCUGUAAGGAGUGUGCCGCCCGCCCUCGCAGAGGCUGUCGGAGACCUUCCCGCCUUGUCCGUCCCCUGACCCCACACAGGCUGCACACGUUCUGUCCCCCGAGGCGGCUGCCACGAACAGAGGCCGCCUUAGGCCCUUGCGUCCUGUGGGCCAGGCCCUAGAGAGUCUGCGAACACAUUCUUGGAACCACCACCUGGAUGAAGAAAUGGAACCUUACCGUGCUUCCUACCUCCUACUGACUCCCACCGAACGUCCCCCAAAGGAGUGUGCAGCUCUCGCUGCAGAGCUCCACACCUGCAGGGAGCAGCUCGUGCAGAGAGAGGAGGAGAUCGCCAACCUGAAGGCGGAGAGAAACAACACCAGGCUACUGCUGGAACAUUUAGAGUUCCUCAUCUCCAGGCACGAGAGAUCUCUCAGGAGAACAUUGGUGAGGCGACAGGCGAAGACUCAGGCCGGCAUGU